rnacentral:tRNA from 1 species
GGGCGAAUAGCUCAGUUGGGAGAGCACUUGCCUUACAAGCAAGGGGUCACAGGUUCGAGCCCUGUUUCGCCCACCA